rnacentral:sRNA from 1 species
UUGCUUUAAUUCAUUUGGUACGACAGUA